rnacentral:tRNA from 1 species
GAUGGGUGGCUCAGUGGUUAGAGCCUAGGUCUCGUAACCGAAAGGUUCCGAGUUCGAAACUCGCCACAGGCA